AGCUCAGGUCGAAAGGCUCGGGUGACCAUGCCAGAGUGCCCCCGGCUCCCCAGCACGGUACACCUUGGAGAUGUUACAGGUUCGGUUCCAGACCACUGCAAUAAGAAAAGUGCUGCUGAAUACUUCGGGAAGCUUAUGGUGAACAUGCUCCAUCUCAAGAUACUUGUG